CCAUUUAAAAGGGCACGUGAGCUGGGUUCAAACCGUCGUGAGACAGGUUGGUCUCUAUCUGCUACAGGCGUUUAACACUUGAGUGAAGUCGUCCCUAGUACGAGAGGACCGGGAUGAACGAACCUCUGGUCUACUGGCUUUGGUACCAACUGAAGCGCCAGGUAGCUACGUUCGGAACGGAUAAGCGCUGAAAGCAUAUAAGCGCGAAGCCAAUCACAAGAUUAGGUGUAGGAUCCUGGGAGACUACCAGGUUGAUAGGCUCUAGGUGUAAGGCCCGUAAGGGUUUUAGCCGAGGAGUACUAAUAAUCCGAUCAAACUUUUCAA
rfam:Candidatus Colwellbacteria bacterium RIFCSPHIGHO2_12_FTLL_43_12 rifcsphigho2_12_scaffold_11896, whole genome shotgun sequence.